rnacentral:lncRNA from 1 species
AACUUCGAGAUCACAACGCAAUGAAAUGGAUACAACAAUUAAUCAAAUAAUCUAUUUUAAAAAACAAUUAAUUAAUUAAACUAGAAAAGAAACUAAUAAAUUAACAAAUAAUCAAUUAAUUAAUUAAUAAUCUAAAAAUUAAUCAAAAAAUAAAGAUAGAAACCAAAACUAAAUUAUAAAAAGAAAAAAAGUGGUGAAUCAAAGAAUGGGCAGGGUUGUAAAUAUCAAAAUAGUUUCAGGCCCGAUCCAAAGUUAUCACUAAACUUAAUAAUAUCAACAUAUUCAUUUUAAAAAGGAUCAACAAAAUAAAAUAAAUAAAUAAAAAGAAAAAUUAAAAUCAACAUCGUGCACAUAGGGGG